rnacentral:ncRNA from 1 species
AGUUCAAACAAGGGGAAUCUGACUAUUUAAUUAAAACAAAGAAUUGUGAUGGUCCAUGUGGAUGUUGACACAAUGUGAUUUCUGCCCAGUGCUCUGAAUGUUAAAGUGAAUAAAUUCAACCAAGCACGGGUAAACAGCGGGAGUAACUAUUACUCUAUUAAGGUAGCCAAAUGCCUCGUCGUCUAAUUAGUGAUGCACAUGAAUGGAUUAAAUAGAUUCCCACUAUCCCUAUCUACCAUCUAACGAGACCACAACCAAGGGAAUGGGCUUGGCAUAAUCAACAGGGAAAGAAGACCUUGUUGAGAUUGACUCUAGUCCAACUUUGUGAAAUGAAUUGAGAGUUGUAGAAUAAGUGGGAAUAUUUUUCGGCACAAAUGAAAUACCACUACUUUUAACAUUAUUUUACUUAUAAUUUUAUGGGGCGGAGACGGGGCAGUUACCCUAUUUUUGGCCUCAAGUCAUGUUUUGAUGGGUUGAUCUGGGCAGAAGACAUUGCCAGGUGGGGAUUUUGGAUGGGGAAACACAUCUAUUAAAAUAUAACAUAAAAUAUAAUUGGUGUAGAUAGAACAUUUGUAUUUGGGAUAUCCUAGUGCACAACCAUCCUUAUUACCUUUCCCUCCUAAUUUCUAGU